AAUGAUGGCCAAACAAUUAGAGUAAGAAGACAUUAUUUAGAUAAUUGAUUGGUUGAACCUUAUAAUCAUACUUACUUACAAAAUUUGAUUGUCACAUAAAUGUAGAAAUAUGUUCUACCGUUAAAGCUGUGAAAUAUUUGUACAAAUAUAUAGAGUAAUUGGUAGCAGAAUUCCUUAUAGUUUGGAUUUUCUUACACUUAACUCUCAUUCUUUACUUUUUGUGGCAAAACCUCCCAAACCACCCUUUUGUUAGUAAAUUCGCAACCUCUGGUUGUUUUGGUCAUUAUCUGCCAUCAUGAACACAUGUGGAUGUCUAAUAUAUGUCCACAUCAUUUGAUUAAUUACUUUAAAUUAAAAAAUAAUAAUUGAAGAGAAUAUAAAUUAAUUAAAAAAUAUUAAUUUUAAUAUUAAAAAAACUAAAUUAAAACAUAUUUGUAAAUCCAAAAUUGUAAAAAAAAAAAAAAACCUUUCAUCGUCUCUUCUUCCUCAUCUUCUUCUUGGGUUGGGUAAGGAGGCUCGGGUGACUGGAGUCAUGGUGGCUGGCGUUAGGUGAAGAGCAAGGGCGGCCGAGGAUGGGUCUCCAGUAUGAACAAAUCUUGAAAAACAGAGAAAAUCUAUGAGGAAGCUUUAGAAAAGUUUCACAAGAAGAAUUUGGGAAAAACCUUAGCUGUAGACUGAGCGGAUCUGUACAAGCCAUUUUUUUUCUGCAAGUUGUUGGCAGCCAUGGAAGAUGAGAACGCCAGUAGAGGCUUCGGGUGAGCUUCACGAAACCUUGUGAGUCCAAAACCUGGGCAGAUCUCGUGAACUUCACAAAAUCGACAGUGUGAAGGCUCUUGGAGAGGGAACAGAGAUUUGGACAACGAACAAAGCUCAUCAGGUAACCUUCUCCCCAGAUUCGUGGAAACCAACCUUCUUCCCUUGCUAUGACAUGUCCUCAACACCAACCUUCUUCCCUAGCCUUCAGUGAUUUUGAGAUUUAUUUUUAUUUUUCAGAUAUGUUUGUUUGAUUUUCUUGUAUAUUGUUCAUACCCAUUUCAGAUAUGUAUAUUGUUCAUACCCAUUUUGCUGGUUUUAAUAGAUUUUGCCUGGUGUAAACAAUGAACAAAUAUGAGAUGUGAUUGUGAGUAAAUAUGGGUUUGUGUUUAUGAAUAAAUCUGGGUUUAGGUUUGAA